rnacentral:rRNA from 1 species
GACGGGUGAUAACGCGUGAGAACCUACCUUCAGAAUGGGGACAACAGUUGGAAACGACUGCUAAUACCCAAUGUGCCGAAAGGUGAAAGAUUUAUCGUCUGAAGAUGGGCUCGCGUCUGAUUAGCUAGAUGGUGGGGUAAGAGCCUACCAUGGCAACGAUCAGUAGCUGGUCUGAGAGGAUGAGCAGCCACACUGGGAGUGAGACACGGCCCAGACUCUUACGGGAGGCAGCACUGGGGAAUUUUCCGCAAUGGGCGAAAGCCCGACGGAGCAAUACCGCGUGAGGGAGGAAGGUCCUUGGAUUGUAAACCUCUUUUAUCAGGGAAGAAGUUCUGACGGUACCUGAUGAAUAAGCAUCGGCUAACUCCGUGCCAGCAGCCGCGGUAAUACGGAGGAUGCAAGCGUUAUCCGGAAUUAUUGGGCGUAAAGCGUCCGUAGGUGGUUUUGCAAGUCUGCUGUUAAAGAAUGGAGCUUAACUCCAUAGGAGCGGUGGAAACUGCAAGACUAGAGUACAGUAGGGGUAGCAGGAAUUCCCAGUGUAGCGGUGAAAUGCGUAGAUAUGGGAAGAACAUCGGGGCGAAAGCGGCUACUGGCCGAAAACUGACACUGAGG